AUGACUGGUUCAGGAGCUGCAGUCCAUCACCACUCAUCACCACCCGUCUUCUUCAACUCUAUUCGUCGGCUCGCUGUCUACUGCCCUCCUUCAUUUCUCCACAUCGCAGCUGAAGAGAUGAUUGAAGAAUUUGGGGACAAGGUGAAGGGAAAGCACAAGGUCCAUGGUGGUGCUGAAAUUGAUUUGUUUGAUGUCAAGUACUAUGUUAUCAAGUACUAA
rnacentral:rRNA from 1 species